rnacentral:rRNA from 1 species
UGGCCAUGUUGGUUAACAGAUCCUCAUUUGCUGGAUAAUUGGCGAUGAUCUUUAUCGGUUGUCGUCAGUUGCCAGAACGUUUACUUUGAGAAAAUUAGAGUGCUAAAAGCAGGCUCACGCCUAUAUAUAUUGCAUGGAAUAAUGAAAUAAGAUCUCGAUUUUAUUUCGUUGGUUUUAGAAAUUGAGAUAAUGAUUAAUAGGAUCAGAGGGGGGCGUACGUACUGUGGUGUGAGAGGUGAAAUUCUUGGAUCGCCACAGGACGAACAGCAGCGAAGGCGUUCGCCAAGAAUGUUUUCAUUAAUCAAGAACGAAAGUUUGAGGUUCGAAGACGAUUAGAUACCGUCCUAGUUCAAACCAUAAACGUUGCCAACUGUCUUUUAGAUGCGGUUAUUUAUAUGACUCAUCUGGCGGAUCUCGAGAAAUCUAAGUUUUUAGGUUCCGGGGGAAGUAUGGUUGCAAAGCUGAAACUUAAAAGAAUUGACGGAAGGACACACAAGAAGUGGAGCCUGUGGGCCUAAUUUGACUCAACACGGGAAACCUUACUCGGCCAGGACACUUUUAGGAUUGACAGAUUGAGAGCUCUUUCUUGAUUAGGUGGGUGGUGGUGCAUGGUCGUUCGUAGUUCGUGGAGCGAUUUGUCUGAUUAAUUUCGAUAACGAACGAGACUCCGGCUUACUAAAUAGUCUAAAGUUCGAAGGGACUUUUCAAGACUUCUUAGCAGGAUAAAUGG